UGGCGAACGGGCUGAGUAAUACAUCGGAAUGUACCUUGUAGUGGGGGAUAGCUCGGCGAAAGCCGGAUUAAUACCGCAUACGCUCUGAGGAGGAAAGCGGGGGACCUUCGGGCCUCGUGCUACAAGAGCAGCCGAUGUCAGAUUAGCUAGUUGGUGGGGUAAAAGCUCACCAAGGCGACGAUCUGUAGCUGGUCUGAGAGGACGACCAGCCACACUGGGACUGAGACACGGCCCAGACUCCUACGGGAGGCAGCAGUGGGGAAUUUUGGACAAUGGGCGAAAGCCUGAUCCAGCAAUGCCGCGUGUGUGAAGAAGGCCUUCGGGUUGUAAAGCACUUUUGUCCGGAAAGAAAUCCUUUGGGUUAAUACCUCGGGGGGAUGACGGUACCGGAAGAAUAAGCACCGGCUAACUACGUGCCAGCAGCCGCGGUAAUACGUAGGGUGCAAGCGUUAAUCGGAAUUACUGGGCGUAAAGCGUGCGCAGGCGGUUUUGUAAGACGGAUGUGAAAUCCCCGGGCUUAACCUGGGAACUGCAUUCGUGACUGCAAGGCUAGAGUAUGGCAGAGGGGGG
rnacentral:rRNA from 1 species